AUGUUAUCAAGAAAGGUGGAGGGAAUAGACCCUUAGAAACCUUAGCAACCCUUUAAUUUAUUAAAGAAGGUGCUAAAUUCUACUUAAUGAUUUUUAUAUCAUUGGAUAGAUAACAA
rnacentral:ncRNA from 2 species